AAAAAAAGAAAAAAAAAAAUAAAACCUUGAAAAUCUUGGAGCAGCAGUACUCCACGUUAUUCUUUUUCUCAUCCUCUUUCUUCUACCUUUUGUUCAACAAAAGACUUACACUAAAACAAAAGACUUACACUAAAAUUGCAAAAAGAUUAUCAACCAUCACAGACAUCAAUCGCCACUCAUCCGGGUUUAAUAGUUCUUGUUUUUCUUGGUGGUUUCUUAAAGGAGAAACGUUUGGGUUAUUUGGACUUGCGGUUUCGGGUCGAGAAACGGGUCAAGAGGUCGAGAUUGUUGGGUCCUUUAUAGUGUAAUUUCACCUCAUUACUUCCCUUUAAUCAAGGACUUGAAGAUAGUUAGCUCCAGUUGGGUUAAAGAGUGCGUUGGAUCCCUUUUGAUUUAAUAGGACUUUUAAAAAGACUUCCGCUCUUAUUUAUUUAUAAGAUUUAUGUUUUGGUUUGUAAUAAUUAUUUUACAUUCUAUUUAGUUGGUUUGUAAUAAUUAGUUAAAACUUUUGGUUAUUGUUUUAGUUAGAACCAUUAGCCUUGCGGUUAUUAUUAUUAAUUAUCGCGGCGUAGCACCUUUGGAUUUCCGAA